rnacentral:tRNA from 1 species
GGUUAUUUAACUCAGUUGGUAAGAGUGCUGUUCUCAUAAAACAGAAGUCAUAGGUUCGAAUCCUAUAAUAGCCA